rfam:Erinaceus europaeus unplaced genomic scaffold scaffold00034, whole genome shotgun sequence
GACAGAUGAUGGAUUAUUCUCAUGAUAGUCUUCGAGUGGCAGGGAGGGCACUAAUAAAAAUGCCAAUGACUCAGUUGAUACCAAUAG